CUAUAGGUUCACUGGAUGUUGAGAAGGCAAAGAAAGCAGGCCAGGCCCUAAAUGAGAGAAAGUAUCGUCAACACCCGUGGAACUACAAAUUCAAAAUCACCACUGAAGACAUGCCCAUGGUGUUGGCUAAGGCCAACGCUCAGUUUAUGAACAAGCAAGCUUACAUUCAAGCCUGGGAGAAAGACAAAACAAGCGUUCAUGUCAUGCCUGAUGCCAUGGAUGUUCAACUGGCCAAAGCAAACAAAUCCAACUACAGUCUGAAAAUGUACAAACAGGCAAAUGAAGACGCCAAGAAGAAGGGCUAUGACAUGCGCCAGGACGCCGUUUCUGUUAAA